rnacentral:rRNA from 1 species
AUUGAACGCUGGCGGCAUGCCUUACACAUGCAAGUCGAACGGUAACGGGCCUUCGGGUGCCGACGAGUGGCGAACGGGAGAGUAAUGCAUCGGAACGUACCUUUCAGUGGGGGAUAACGUAGCGAAAGUUACGCUAAUACCGGAUAUUCUGUGCGCGGGAAAGCAGGGGAUCGCAAGACUUUGCGCUGAUUGAGCGGCCGAUGUCAGAUUAGCUAGUUGGUGGGGUAAAGGCUCCCCAAGGCGACGAUCUGUAGCGGGUCUGAGAGGAUGAUCCGCCACACUGGAACUGAGACACGGUCCAGACUCCUACGGGAGGCAGCAGUGGGGAAUUUUGGACAAUGGGGGCAACCCUGAUCCAGCCAUGCCGCGUGAGUGAAGAAGGCCUUCGGGUUGUAAAGCUCUUUCGGUCGGGAAGAAAUCGCAUGGGUUAAUACCCUGUGCGGAUGACGGUACCGGCAUAAGAAGCACCGGCUAACUACGUGCCAGCCGCCGCCGUAAGAC